UACGUAGGGGGCAAGCGUUUGUCCGGAAUCAUUGGGCGUAAAGAGCGUGUAGGCGGCCAGAUAAGUCCGCUGUGAAAUCUCGAGGCUCAACUUCGAGCUGUCGGUGGAAACUGUCUGGCUAGAGUCCGGAAGAGGAGAAUGGAAUUCCUGGUGUAGCGGUGAAAUGCGCAGAUAUCGGGAAGAACACCCGUGGCGAAGGCGGUUCUCUGGGACGGUACUGACGCUGAGACGCGAAAGCGUGGGGAGCGAACAGG
rnacentral:rRNA from 1 species